rnacentral:rRNA from 1 species
UGGUAGUCCACGCUGUAAACGAUGUCGAUUUGGAGGUUGUGCCCUUGAGGCGUGGCUUCCGGAGCUAACGCGUUAAAUCGACCGCCUGGGGAGUACGGCCGCAAGGUUAAAACUCAAAUGAAUUGACGGGGGCCCGCACAAGCGGUGGAGCAUGUGGUUUAAUUCGAUGCAACGCGAAGAACCUUACCUACUCUUGACAUCCAGAGAACUUAGCAGAGAUGCUUUGGUGCCUUCGGGAACUCUGAGACAGGUGCUGCAUGGCUGUCGUCAGCUCGUGUUGUGAAAUGUUGGGUUAAGUCCCGCAACGAGCGCAACCCUUAUCCUUUGUUGCCAGCGGUUCGGCCGGGAACUCAAAGGAGACUGCCAGUGAUAAACUGGAGGAAGGUGGGGAUGACGUCAAGUCAUCAUGGCCCUUACGAGUAGGGCUACACACGUGCUACAAUGGCAUAUACAAAGAGAAGCGACCUCGCGAGAGCAAGCGGACCUCAUAAAGUAUGUCGUAGUCCGGAUUGGAGUCUGCAACUCGACUCCAUGAAGUCGGAAUCGCUAGUAAUCGUAGAUCAGAAUGCUACGGUGAAUACGUUCCCGGGCCUUGUACACACCGCCCGUCACACCAUGGGAGUGGGUUGCAAAAGAAGUAGGUAGCUUAACCUUCGGGAGGGCGCUUACCACUUUGUGAUUCAUGACUGGGG